CUAGUACGGGAGGCAGCAGUGAGGAAUAUUGGUCAAUGGGCGGAAGCCUGAACCAGCCAAGUAGCGUGCAGGAAGACGGCCCUAUGGGUUGUAAACUGCUUUUAUGCGGGGGAUAAAGUGAGGGACGUGUCCUCAUUGCAGGUACCGCAUGAAUAAGGACCGGCUAAUUCCGUGCCAGCAGCCGCGGUAAUCUAG
rnacentral:rRNA from 1 species